UGGCUCAGUGGUUAAGAGCACUGGAUGCUCUUCCAGAGGUCCUGAGUUCAAUUCCCAG
rfam:Mus musculus chromosome 5, GRC primary reference assembly.